AUUAUGUAACGGGUUUGGAGUCGUGAAAAACUCAAAAAGUAAAGUGUUGUCAUCAGCUUCUUCUUUUGUAGUAACAUUUAGGCGUGAUCAAAAAACACGAUCAAAUGA